rnacentral:lncRNA from 1 species
AAUUGAACAUGUAGUAGAACAAUUAGAUUAUUGGCAAAGUGAAGAUUUCAACGACAAAGCAAUGGAGAGGUGGAAGGAAAUGGAAAUUGGUGGAUGACCCUGCAACAAAAGCAUCAUAUAUAUAGAAAGGGAUGGAUGACCUGCAACAAAAGCAUCAUAUAUAUAAAAAAAUAAAAUCAAAUAAGACAAACUUUCAACUUGUCUUUAUAGUAUUUUUUUAUUUUUAUUUUUUUGCUUUAU